GCGUGGUUACUUAACUAACAAAGCAGAUGUUUAUAGCUUUGGAGUUGUUGCAUUGGAAAUUGUUAGUGGAAAGAGCAACACAAAUUACAGGCCAAAGGAGGAAUUUGUUUACCUUCUUGAUUGGGCUUAUGUUUUGCAAGAGAGAGGAAGUAUGCUGGAGCUGGUUGAUCCAGAGUUGGGGUCAGCCUAUUCAUCAGAGGAAGCAAUGUUGAUGCUAAAUGUAGCUCUGUUGUGUACCAAUGCAUCCCCAACGCUGAGGCCUACAAUGUCUCAAGUUGUAAGCAUGCUUGAAGGUCGAACGGCCAUUCAAGACCUUCUUUCUGAUCCUGGGUUUUCAGCCAUCAACUCAAAAUACAAGGCUAUAAGAAAUCACUUCUGGCAGCAGAACCCAAGCCAGACCCAUAGC
rnacentral:misc_RNA from 1 species